rnacentral:tRNA from 1 species
UCCCUGGUGGCUCAGAUGGUAAAGCGACGGCCUACAAUGCAGGAGACCCAGGUUCAAUCCCUGGGUUGGGAA